ensembl:lincRNA Gm17399 predicted gene, 17399
GACUGCCCUCUCCCGGAAUCCUGAUGGAAAGGGGACGGGUUUCCGCAGGGAAUGAGGGCGUGGCCACGCAUGCUCUCCCAAGAGGCCGCCUCGUGUGUGCACUGCCUGGCUUUUCGAAGUAACACGUGGGCUUUGAGACUUAGGCCUCAUAUCUCAAAAGUACUGAAUGACCCGGUCAUUCAGUCCUUAGACCUUCUGUCUCUGUCGGGUUUCAGCCCCAGUCUUGAGUGCCAGAGGCAAAGAAAUAAAAAUAAAGCCCUUAUUCCUGGGAGAAAAGCCACCUGCAGGAGUCCUGCACUGGAGACCUCUGUUUUGUGACAUCCCCUGGGCGGACAGUCCAGUCUGGGUGGUGUUAUGGAUCUUGACACUGCUUGAAAGCUGUACUUUGUUGCUGACAUAAGGGAAGGGUAACUUUCUGGGUGGCACUUAGGCCUGUUUCCGGUCUCUGAGCGACCUUCGGUUCUGAGUCGUGAUCAGAUCUCCAUUUAAUGAGCUCGAGCCUCCAAAGGACUUAGAAAGCCAGCAGUAACUAAUGAUGAAGUGCAAUGUCUUCCUGUAAGACCUUCUGCCUGAACUUCAUUGAAGAAUAAUGGCAUCUUCCUCUUCCUUCAUCCCUUAACACAGGAGCCCAUCGAGUGUCCACAUGCACAGAGGAGUCACUUGUCCGCUGACAGCCAUGGCUUUGCAGUAAACGCCAAGGCAUAGAUGCUUCCAUCCCGUAAGCAAGAGCGAGACCUGGAAAUAGCCAGAGACCUAGGUGUGAAGUACAGGCUGUUCUGUUGGUAACAGAAAGGCAUCUCUGCAUCUCCUUCUUAAUUAAUGUCCCUUCUUGUUAUAGAAAUAAAUCUUAUGCUUGUGUGAAACUCAUACUGUAGAGGAGUCCUCCUGCCCUUACUCUGGCUUUAACUCCUUCCCACACAAAGUAACCUACUUCAUUUGCAGUCCAGGAGAGAUCCUUCAGUUUUGCUGCAUUUCUCAAUUAAGUACAGUAUGCAUCAGGCAGCAGAUUUUCUGUACCAAUGAAGUUACACUUUGCACAUUGUUCUAGAAAACACAUCACACAAUGAGAUGGUUAUCUCAUUUGUCACUUGUCUGUGUCUUUAAACAAUUUAAAGUAAAACGCUUGUGGUUCAUCUUUACCUCUUACAAAUAAUCGAAAAUAAAAUGCUACACAUGGUGUC